CCUAUAAGACUGGGAUAACUUCGGGAAACCGGAGCUAAUACCGGAUAACAUUUAGAACCGCAUGGUUCUAAAGUGAAAGAUGGUUUUGCUAUCACUUAUAGAUGGACCCGCGCCGUAUUAGCUAGUUGGUAAGGUAACGGCUUACCAAGGCGACGAUACGUAGCCGACCUGAGAGGGUGAUCGGCCACACUGGAACUGAGACACGGUCCAGACUCCUACGGGAGGCAGCAGUAGGGAAUCUUCCGCAAUGGGCGAAAGCCUGACGGAGCAACGCCGCGUGAGUGAUGAAGGGUUUCGGCUCGUAAAACUCUGUUAUUAGGGAAGAACAAAUGUGUAAGUAACUGUGCACAUCUUGACGGUACCUAAUCAGAAAGCCACGGCUAACUACGUGCCAGCAGCCGCGGUAAUACAUAGGUGGCAAGCGUUAUCCGGAAUUAUUGGGCGUAAAGCGCGCGUAGGCGGUUUCUUAAGUCUGAUGUGAAAGCCCACGGCUCAACCGUGGAGGGUCAUUGGAAACUGGGAAACUUGAGUGCAGAAGAGGAAAGUGGAAUUCCAUGUGUAGCGGUGAAAUGCGCAGAGAUAUGGAGGAACACCAGUGGCGAAGGCGACUUUCUGGUCUGUAACUGACGCUGAUGUGCGAAAGCGUGGGGAUCAAACAGGAUUAGAUACCCUGGUAGUCCACGCCGUAAACGAUGAGUGCUAAGUGUUAGGGGGUUUCCGCCCCUUAGUGCUGCAGCUAACGCAUUAAGCACUCCGCCUGGGGAGUACGACCGCAAGGUUGAAACUCAA
rnacentral:rRNA from 1 species